CGUCCUACGGGGGGCUGCAGUAGGGAAUAUUGGACAAUGGGCGAGAGCCUGAUCCAGCCAUGCCGCGUGCAGGAAGAAGGCCUUCUGGGUCGUAAACUGCUUUUGCCGGGGGAUAAAACACCCCUGCGGGGGAAAUUGAAGGUACCCGGUGAAUAAGCCACGGCUAACUACGUGCCAGCAGCCGCGGUAAUACGUAGGUGGCGAGCGUUGUCCGGAUUUAUUGGGUUUAAAGGGUGCGUAGGCGGCCCGGGUAGUCAGCUGUGAAAUACGGCAGCCCAACUGGCGAGGUGCCGUUGAUACUGCCGGGCUUGAGUGCGUUCGAGGGGGGCGGAAUUGACGGUGUAGCGGUGAAAUGCUUAGAUAUCGUCAAGAACACCGAUAGCGGAGGCAGCCCCCCAGGCCGCCACUGACGCUGAGGCACGAAAGUGCGGGGAUCAAACAGGAUUAGAUACCCCUGUAGUCA
rnacentral:rRNA from 1 species